CGUAAGAGCAUUUUGUUCCAAACCCAUUUUUACAAUCACAAAUGAUUUGGGUUCAAUAAAUGGCAGCCUAACAGAUGCUAGUUGGCACAUGGUCGGGGUAACGUGACACAUGUGGCGGGAAAGGUAAGCCCCCACUUCCUGGCUAUAAUAACGGAGGUAUGGCACCCGGGCAACACUCAAAAACGAUGCGGUGCGCUUUGCAUCACAGCUGCAAAGGAAAUAUUUAUUUAUAUAUUUGGUGAUUUUGUGUGAGAGUCAUUUUGGGUGAAAAUUUGGGUCAAGAAACAAGCAUUGGUUCUGUCCUAUAAGAGCAACAGAUGGAUUGUCAACAAGAGAUAAGCCAAACCAUCCAAAGGCAACACACAACAAGGCAGCAACGGGGAUGGAAGGGUCACGUUCCAAACGGAAGAAAGAGGAACACCAAGACAGAAAAUUCUCAUCCCCCACGGACCAACGGCGACAAAUGUGCAACCGCGACGUUCAUUUGGAAAUGAAACCAACCUUAAUCAUCACAUCAAUGUGUUCAACGGGUAAAGAGCGCUCAGGUUUCGGUGAGCUUCCUGUAAAAAA